GAUGAACGCUGGCGGCGUGCCUAACACAUGCAAGUCGAGCGAUCUUCUUCGGAAGAGAGCGGCGGACGGGUGAGUAACGCGUGGGUAACCUGCCUCAUACACAUGGAUAACAUACCGAAAGGUAUGCUAAUACAAGAUGAUAUAAGAGAUUCGCAUGGAUUUCUUAUCAAAGCUCCGGCGGUAUGAGAUGGACCCGCGUCUGAUCAGCUAGUUGGUAAGGUAACGGCUUACCAAGGCGACGAUCAGUAGCCGACCUGAGAGGGUGAUCGGCCACAUCGGAGCUGGGACACGGUCCAAACUCCUACGGGAGGCAGCAGUGGGGAAGAUUGCACAAUGGGCGAAAGCCUGAUGCCGCAACGCCGCGUGAGCGAUGAAGGCCCUCGGGUCGGAAAGCUCUGUCCUCAAGGAAGAUAAUGACGGUACUUGAGGAGGAAGCCCCGGCUAACUACGUGCCAGCCGCCGCUGUAAGAC
rnacentral:rRNA from 1 species